GGAGGAGGGUUUCUCCCUCAACUCUCCCCUCCCGACUCAUCCCUCCCAAAGCUGUGCGCUCAGUUGAAGAGGACCACCUUCCCCAAUAGAGGAGCACCGGUCUUCGGUCAAGGGUAUACGAGAAAAAGGCUUCACAAACCAAUCACCCCAUAAUUACUUAUAGAAACUGCACAGGGACAGGAUUC
rnacentral:sRNA from 1 species